UACGUAGGGGGCAAGCGUUGUCCGGAAUCAUUGGGCGUAAAGCGCGUGUAGGCGGUUCGGUAAGUCUGCUGUGAAAGUCCAGGGCUCAACCCUGGGAUGCCGGUGGAUACUGUCGGGCUAGAGUACGGAAGAGGCGAGUGGAAUUCCCGGUGUAGCGGUGGAAUGCGUAGAGAUCGGGAAGAACAUCAGUGGCGAAGGCGGCCUGCUGGGCUGUUGCUGACGCUGAGGCGCGACAGCGUGGGGAGCAAACAGG
rnacentral:rRNA from 1 species